UUGACCAUAUUUAAUUCCAGG
rnacentral:piRNA from 1 species